AAUCAGCAGGUGGCGCUCUUACCCCAGUACUGCAGGCUAAAAUGUGUCACGUGGUGUUGAAAAAAGUUUGAGUACCGAAGUCGAAAGUGUGCGGCUGAGAAGAGGUCGGGCAGGAUCUCGAUUAUAGUAUUGCGUCUAAUUUCUGGUUAAUUCCUGCACUACAGGACUCAAAAAACAAAAGUCUUCCAGUGAAGAAGAGCUGUGGCGCUGGACAUGAGUAGCAGCUGUACACUGGAUAAGAGCUGCAGUGAGAAGGCGACACUGAAAUAUGCUAAUGGACAAGACCUGUGGCACUGGAGGUGAGAAACAGGACUGAAAAAAACAGGCAUUUACAUAUGGCGUUAUGGAUCAUAUGAAAUGUAAGUCUUCCAGUGAAGAAGAGCUGUGGCGCUGGACAUGAGUAGCAGCUGUACUCUGGAGAAGAGCUGCAGCGGGGAGGUGAAACUGCUUGUCUGGAUGGCUACCACUUCAGUUCAGCUGGAAGGUGGAAAGGGUCGUAUUCUCUAAGCCUGCUGCAAUCAACUUCCAUCAAUCUGAAUUUCCUUUGCGAGAUCUCAGAGGGACAAAUAUUUACUGUACUUUGAAUGAAUAGAAGAAUCAUCUUCACAUUUAUGAACUGAUAAUGUAUUGUGCAAAUUAACCCAUUGCAUGUUGGCUCAGUUGAUCUCCAUUGUACCAUGAAAAAGUAGAGCCUUUGACACAAACUUCUUUUAUGCCCACACCAUAAAUUGUGUUGUCUGGUACGGAAAGGGUAAAUAAUGAUUGGUAUUGCACACCACUAAUGAAACACACAUGAAUAGGUGUUUGCUGUGGGAUAUUUUUUAUACUAAAGUAAUAAAUGCAAAUACUACCCUG